rnacentral:lncRNA from 1 species
UGUGUCCUCAUGGAUACUAGUCAGGUUUGUUAACCACUGAGGCAUGACGGGAACUCCUUAUGUUGGUAUAUUUUCACCCUACAUUAUAAUGUUUUUUAUUUAGGGCCAAAACCCAUGCAGAGUGUGUAGGUAUCACCUGGCAGCUGCUAGAGAUGCAGGUUCUUGCUUCCCACCUCAGACCCCCAGAAUUGGAAUCUGCAUUCUAGCAAGAUCCCAGGUGAUUCUCAUGCUCAGUGAAGUAGAAGUACUGGACCACUGAGGGCUGAGAGAACGAGGUGUGGUUGCUCUCUGUCCACUCCUCUCCCACACGGACUGCUGCAGUCGUGGAAAUGAUCACAUCCAGGAAAUGCAGGAGAAGGGAGGACAGGCAUUGCAUUCUGACCACCCAGGUUCCAGUGCCAGCCCUGCCCCUACCCCUCUACCGAGGUACCGGACCUCAGGACAGAUGACAGCAGUGCCUGGAGCUGCCCUUCCUCCACAGGACGAGGCCAAUACCUGUACUUCUCUAGGCCCCAGGGGUGGCCCUCCCUCUCUUCCAGAUGCUGUCCAUCAAACGUCUUCCUCCUCCCUUCUCCUUCUCUCAUGGCCCUUGCACUUUGGGUUUGUUGGAGGAAAAGAGGAAUGACUCAAGGGGGAGAGAACGAAGAAGUAGUUUGUGAGGAACUGAAUGACCCUACACCCUGGUCUCCUGUAUUAUAACCUACUUCAGGGCGCACACUUUUCUUUGUCCCCGUGGACAAAUAGCCCUUGCCUAGAUUUGGUCAUCUCAUAUCUGCAUGUCUUUUUACUUUGGUGUCGAAUCUCUAAUCUUUUUUUUUUUUUUUUUUUUUUUUGGUCUUUUUGCCAUUUCUUGGGCCGCUCCAGCGGCAUAUGGAGCUUCCCAGGCUAGGGGUCAAAUCGGAGCUGUAGCUGCCGGCCUACACCAUAGCCACAGCUACUCAGGAUCCGAGCCGCAUCUGAGACCUACACCACAGCUCGAGGCAAUGCUGGAUCCUUAACGCACUGAGCAAGGCCAGGAAUCGAACCUGCAACCUCAUGGUUCCUAGUCAGCAUUCGGUAACCACUGAGCCAUGACAGGAACUCCUCCAAGCAGUCUUUUUGAGGAAGGGAAAUAUAGCCAGAGUCAUUUUCUUUACCUACCCUCCUGGGACUUGGCUUCAGUGUGUACACAAGUGGCCAUUAUAGUAUGGGAUGGAGCCAGGGGAGGGAAAAGAACACGAGUGGGAUCUUGGCUUAAUAGACAUUAAUCUACAGUAGGUGCUCAAUAAAUGUUUAAAGACUAUGUCUUUCUGUGCUUGU